rnacentral:lncRNA from 1 species
GGGGGUUUCCCAGCAGAGAGAGAAGAAAUCCAGGAUUUUCUUGCUCAGGGCUGUGGCAGCCGCUGGCCUCUAGGCCUUUCUGUUUCUGCCUUUCUCUCCCCCUUCCUGUCUCUGAGAGGUGGUGGCAGGGUCCCUCCAGUUGGGCAGCCCUGGCUGCCCUCUGGCCCUUGUCUGGGGAGAGCUGCGGAGGGGCCUGGCAGCAGACCUGGCACCCCCCUCCCUGUUUCCGAGCAUCCUUUCCUCGUCUUGGCCUGGCGCCCUUCGAGGACCGAGUGGCAGGUGCCCUUCUCAAAAGCCACCUAAGGUCCAGGUCAGCGCAGGGGCUGGGGCUGCUCUGUCUCCAAACUAACCUGAGACAUAAAUCCCCAGAACCCCGCUGCCCAACCUCAGGGUGCUUCCUCUCCUCCUCCCCAGGCUUCGAGACUGCCUGCCAUGACGGCCACCUCCUCCACUCCCGGCCCACUCAGGGUCACCCUCCUCCCGGCCUUAUCCCCUGCUGACCCUUUUCUCUUCCUCUAGGGCACUUGCUUCCAAAUGAGGACCCAGAGGCUGAGAAACGACAGGAGUAUUUUCUGGGUCCAUCUUGGGCUACCUGAGGCCAGGGGCGUGCUCCUCCUUCUAGGGCUUGAUCUUCACUUCUAGCCGGGACACGGCUUGUCCCUUGAGACCGAGGGCAGCCUUCCCUUCAGGUCCCGGGGAAAGGAGGUGAGCAAGCUAUAGGAGGGCCAUCGGGCAAAUGGCAGUGACAGACAUCAUUUGGGUCCCCAGAGGGUGGAGCCUGGAUGCCGUUUGGUGUGGGAUGAGGUUUUCAGGACCCCUGAACCCGACCGUGGUGGAAGGCUGCGUGCCGCCCUGAUCAACAGUGAUUUCCAGUGUGACGGUGAAAGCCGGUGGGGACCCCCGUCCUAGGGGCCAUGAGGUCAUCGUGCCUGCGCUGUGUGCUUUGUUUGUACAGUGACACCAUUUUCCAGGCCAGAGUAGUCUGUACUCUGACGUGCCGAGGACUCGCGGUUUGGUUUUGUGUCGGGAGGCAGCAGGUGUACGGACCACCUGUGACAAGAGCUCAAGUGGCAGGAUGGAGGUUGGAGUGACAUGUGACGUCAACACAGGGAGGAGCAGCCUGGGGACUGGAAGUGCAGCCUGCAUUGUGGACAGUCUACACUGGGUCAUCUAGAGAUUCUUCACUCACCUCAGGCUCGAAGUGCACUCAGCGAGGGCUCCUGUGCCCGGCACUGGGUACACCACCCCCUCUCUCCCUCCUACUGGCCGGGUGCUGAGGACGGGACCAGGUGGGCUCCUGGGCUGUGGUCAUGUGCAUUGAUUUUGGCCCAGUCGGCCACCGUCCCUGUGCAGUCCGGUGGAGCCUGGAUGACCUCUGACCUAGCCCUUCAUUCUGGAGAAAGGUGAGACGUCUCUCACCCUGCAGACAUCAGAGACAGGAGAUUCCUGUCUUGCGGCCUCUGGGACCUCCGCAGAGAGUGGCCUGGUUGGUUCCCUCCAGUUUCAUGCUUUCAGUCUAAGCCAUUUUCUGCAUCUGCCCUGAGUAAAGCCAUGGCUUGAGCAUUGUUUUCACAACCAGGUUCUGGAACCCCAGGAUCCCAAGAGGGACGUCAACUGCUGCCCUGAGGCUGGGUUCUCUGGGGUGGGGGGGCAGGAUUCCCUUUCCUGCUAAUGCCAGAGCCUCUCAGCUACCGUCAGUUUCAUGUGCUUUGAGCUUUGUUUAAUAUUUUGUUGGAAAAGGGUUCUGCAAUAAAAGAAAACUAGAAUAGUGAUAAAGGUCAGAGCACCGAACUCGGGCCCUUGUGGUGUACUGUUCCUUUAAAUCCAGACAUCUCUUGGGGCCUGGGAAUGGGGAGGUUCCUUCUUUGCCCUGCCCCUUCUCAAGAUGGGGGUUAGGUGGAAGGAUGCUUUGGGGGUUCAGGAGAAGUGGAAGUGAAGACCUGAAGAGGCAGAGUGAGAGGCCCCUUACAC